AUGGUGGCAACCACUCACCGGAGGUGGCUUCUUCUCCCCGUUCGCCGUCUUCCUAGCAGACAACCCAUGAAAACGCCCGUCUGCAUCCCGAUCCCCACACGAAACCGCGCCCGCCUCCCGCGCUGCCACCUUUCCCGUUCGAGUGACCCCACCCCCACCUCUGAGGCACAGGCUACCGACUCCCUGCGCGUUGCCUUCGCGUGCGGCGGCGCGGGGGGGCACGUCUAUGCCGCGUUCGCGCUCGCCGAAGAGGUCCAGGCCUCGCUCCCUGGCUCCCGCUCCCUCUUCCUCGGCGCCCCCGCCCCGUCCCUCGAGUCCGCCACCGCCGCGUCUUCCUCAUACCCAUUCGCCCCCGUCCCUCCUUGCCUCCCCCGCGCGCUCCUCGCCGCGGCGCUGCACCUCUACCACUUCCGCCCCCACGUCCUCGUCGCCACCGGCGGUCCCCCCGCCCUGCCCAGCUGCCUCGCCGCGCUGCUCCUGGGACUCCCUUUCGUGAUCCAGGACCAGGACGCCGGCCCCGCCCCUGCCACCCGCCUCCUGGCCCCCCUCUCUCGCCGUGUCUUUCUCGCGUUCAACGCGCCCGUCCGCCUCCUCCCGAAGCGCAAGUGCGCCGUCUACGGGAACCCCGUCCGCAUGUCCAUCCGCAACCGCAGGAUGUCCAAGGCCGCCGCCAUGGCGCGUUUCUUCCCCAGGGCAGGGCUGGUGGAGGCGGAGGGGAUGGAGGUCGUGCUUGUGCUCGCCGGGACGGUGGGAUCGCCGCAGAUCAAUGUGGCAGUACUUAACAUGUAUUACGAGAUGCUGUCGAGAAGGAAAAAUAGGUACAUUAUAUGGCAGACGGGACCAGAGGAUUUCUGCGAGAUGGAGAGCCUCGUCAGGGCGCAUCGCCGGCUGUUUCUGACACCAUUCUUGCAUGAAAUGGACAUGACAUAUGCUGCUACUGAUGUUGUCGUUUCUCGAGCUGGUUCUGUGGCUUGCACUGAGAUAUUGGUCACUGGGAAACCGGCAAUUCUGAUACCCUUACCGACAAUUGUGGAUGACCAUCAAACGAAAAACGCGUAUAUCAUGGCAGAUGUCAUGGGAGCAAGGGUCAUAACAGAAGAUGAACUUGAUUCUAGUAGCCUAACAUGCAUAAUUGAUGAAAUUGUUGGUGAUGAGAAAUUGAUGGCAGAGAUGUCUCAGAAGGCACUAAAUGCUGCUCGACCAAAUGCUUCGGCUGAUAUUAUUCAUCACAUCUGUUCACUGAUUGGCCGAACUAACCUGACAUAA
rnacentral:rRNA from 1 species